ACGAACGCUGGCGGCGUGCCUAAUCCCUGCAAGUCGAACGCUUCUUUCCUCCCGAGUGCUUGCACUCAAUUGGAAAGAGGAGUGGCGGACGGGUGAGUAACACGUGGGUAACCUACCCAUCAGAGGGGGAUAACACUUGGAAACAGGUGCUAAUACCGCAUAACAGUUUAUGCCGCAUGGCAUAAGAGUGAAAGGCGCUUUCGGGUGUCGUUGAUGGAUGGACCCGCGGUGCAUUAGCUAGUUGGUGAGGUAACGGCUCACCAAGGCCACGAUGCAUAGCCGACCUGAGAGGGUGAUCGGCCACACUGGGACUGAGACACGGCCCAGACUCCUACGGGAGGCAGCAGUAGGGAAUCUUCGGCAAUGGACGAAAGUCUGACCGAGCAACGCCGCGUGAGUGAAGAAGGUUUUCGGAUCGUAAAACUCUGUUGUUAGAGAAGAACAAGGACGUUAGUAACUGAACGUCCCCUGACGGUAUCUAACCAGAAAGCCACGGCUAACUACGUG
rnacentral:rRNA from 1 species